UACGAAGGGGGGCUAGCGUUGCUCGGAAUGACUGGGCGUAAAGGGCGCGUAGGCGGUUCGUACAGUCAGGCGUGAAAUCCCUCGGCUCAACCGGGGAACUGCGUCUGAUACUGGAUGGCUUGAAUUCGGGAGAGGGAUGCGGAAUUCCAGGUGUAGCGGUGAAAUGCGUAGAUAUCUGGAGGAACACCGGUGGCGAAGGCGGCAUCCUGGACCGAGAUGACGC
rnacentral:rRNA from 1 species